rnacentral:rRNA from 1 species
AUCAACGCUGGCGGCGUGCCUAACACAUGCAAGUCGAACGCGAAAGUCCCGCAAGGGAUGAGUAGAGUGGCAAACGGGUGAGUAACACGUGGGUGACCUGCCUUCGAGCGGGGGAUAACGUCCCGAAAGGGACGCUAAUACCGCAUAACAUCCUGCUUUUUAAGAGGUGGAGAUCAAAGCUGGGGAUCGCAAGACCUAGCACUCGAAGAGGGGCCCGCGUCCGAUUAGCUAGUUGGUGGGGUAAUGGCUCACCAAGGCAACGAUCGGUAGCCGGCCUGAGAGGGCGGACGGCCACACUGGGACUGAGACACGGCCCAGACUCCUACGGGAGGCAGCAGUGGGGAAUUGUUCGCAAUGGGCGCAAGCCUGACGACGCAACGCCGCGUGGAGGAUGAAGAU